ACAGGAUGUGACUACAAAGAGCACAUGUAGCCAGACAGAUCUGCUCUGCUGGUCUUUUGUUUGAAGCAAGGGUCUGAUGACUGCAACCAUCACUGCCAUUUUCUCCUGUGCAGGCUUAGCUAUUCAACUGGACGCAGACUGGAGAUGAUGAUAAAGAUAGGGAAAUGAAGAAAAGUCACUCUUAAAUCAGUUAACUGAGCCUAAACUGUGUUGGCCAAACUGGAAUCACUGAGAUCACCCAGGGGGUUAACUAGAUUCCACUCCAGAUGCAUGCUUUGGGGAGGACUCCAGCUUUGACCUUUCUGAUCUUCAUCAAUAUUUUGGUGGCUGAGUUAACUUGCACUGAUAAGAAGCAAAAAACACAGAACAACUCAUCUCCUGUGGCAGAAGUUAACACUAUGGUGUCGGUACAGAUGCACCUUCUAUGUACAAAGGCUCUGCUCUGCUGCUCUUCAAUUCCACUGAAAAAAGCAGUAUUAAUAACAUGGACGAUAAUACCCAGAGGCCAGCCUUCCUGCAUAAUGUCCUACAAAAUAGACACAAUGGAGACCAAUGAAAUCAACUGCUUGGGCAGGAACAUCACCUGGGUCUUCACACCUGACCUCAGUCCUGACCUUCAGAUCAGUGCAGUGGCCCUCCAGCAUGAGGGGAAUUACUCAUGUGAGAUAGCAACACCUGAAGGAAAUUUCCAAAAAGUCUAUGACCUCCAAGUGCUGGUGCCCCCUGAGGUAAGCUACUCUCCAGGGAAAAAUAGAACUGCAGUUUGUGAGGCAAUUUCAGGCAAGCCUGCUGUGCAAAUCUCUUGGACUCCAGAUGGGGAUUGUGUCACUAAGGAUGAAUCACACAGCAAUGGCACUGUGACUGUCAGGAGCACGUGCCACUGGGAGCAGAACAAUGUGUCUGCUGUGUCCUGCUUUGUCUCUCAUUUGACUGGUAACCAGACUCUGUUCAUAGAUCUGAGUAGAGGUGGUAACCAAUUAUUACAACCAUAUAUUUGGUACAUCAGAUCAUCUAUUAUUAUUUUGAUCAUCAUAGGAUGCAUUUGUCUUUUGAAAAUCAGUGGUUUCAAGUAUUAACUAAUGAAAAUUUUCUUCAACCUUAUUGGAUUAGAAAAGGAAAAUGUAAAUUGCCAAAAUUGGAAGCUACUCCACCUGUUGAGGAGGGCAUGGAAAACCUCUGUAACGAGCCAA